UCAAAGCUCAUGAGAACACAGCAAACUAAAUAAAAACACAGGUAAACAUUAGAUCAAAGCUCAUGAGAACACAGCAAACUAAAUAAAAACAGGUAAACAAUAGAUCAAAGCACAUGAGAACACAGCAAACUAAAUAAAAACACAGAUAAACAUUAGAUCAAAGCACAUGAGAACACAGCAAACUAAAUAAAAACAGGUAAACAAUAGAUCAAAGCUCAUGAGAACACAGCAAACUAAAUAAACACAGGUAAACAUUAGAUCAAAGCUCAUGAGAACACAGCAAACUAAAUAAAAACAGGUAAACAUUAGAUCAAAGCUCAUGAGAACACAGCAUGACGUGUGAUCUGUUUGUCUCUGGUGUUGAUCAUGUUAGUGAAAGUUAAUAACCAUUGUCAUGGGGGUCUGGACCAAUCAGAAUCAAGCAUCCCACACAGCUGGGUGAUAAUGGUCUUUAAAUGCAUGUAUGUUCGUCCUGACGGGUGUAUCGUCUGCAUAGAGGAGGUAAAAAACACCCUGUUUAAAACCAAACACAGAUAUAUUGGUGUUGUAGUUUCCUCUCAGCAGAAAUACAACAUGAACUUUAAGUUUUGUGUUCACAUUUUAUUUCCUUUUUUUUGUAAUGAAUGAAAAAUGAUGGUCAGAAGUCAUUGCUCCUGUGUUUGGACACUUCCUGAAGUUUCUUGUACUUUUCUGAAAACUUUGUGCUGUAUGAUGAAGAUGAUGAAGAUGAAGAAUCAUUUGUAAACGUGUUAUUAUGACCUUUAUACGUUACCUUGCUUCGUGUUGUUUCACCGCUCUGUGAUUAUUUUUUAAUGUCUUCAAAUAAAUCUAACUGAAACAGGAA